UGUAGCAGGCAUAUCACCCUGCAACUGGCAACUGGCAACUGGCAACUGGCAACCGGCAACCCAGUGAAACUAAGCAGGUGUGAGCCUGGUCAGUACCUGGAUGAGAGACAUCCUGGGAAAAACUAUGGUUUCUGCUGGAA
rnacentral:rRNA from 1 species